GAUGAACGCUGGCGGCGUGCCUAAUACAUGCAAGUAGAACGCUGAAGGAGGAGCUUGCUCUUCUGGAUGAGUUGCGAACGGGUGAGUAACGCGUAGGGAACCUGCCUGGUAGCGGGGGAUAACUAUUGGAAACGAUAGCUAAUACAGCAUGACAACAGUUAUUGCAUGAUAACUGUUUAAAAGGGGAAACUGCUCCACUACCAGAUGGACCUGCGUUGUAUUAGCUAGUUGGUGAGGUAACGGCUCACCAAGGCGACGAUACAUAGCCGACCUGAGAGGGUGAUCGGCCACACUGGGAGUGAGACACGGCCCAGACUCCUACGGGAGGCAGCAGUAGGUGAUCUUCGGCGAUGGACGGAAGUCUGACCGAGCAACGCCGCGUGAGUGAAGAAUGUUUUCGUUUCGUAUAUCUCUGUUGUACGCGAAGAACGAGUGUGAGAGUGGAAAGUUCACACUGUGACGGUAUCUUACCAGAAAGCGACGGCUAACUACGUG
rnacentral:rRNA from 1 species